rnacentral:rRNA from 1 species
UCUAAGACUAAGCCAUGCAUGUGUCCGUACAAACUAAACAAAAGUGAAACCGCAAAUGGCUCAUUAAAUCAGCUAUGAUUCAUUGGAUCUGUACACCCAGUUUUCCUUGGAUAACUGUGGUAAUUCUAGAGCUAAUACAUGCACAUAUAGUCCCUAACCUAACGGGAAGGGCGCUUUUAUUAGUAUCAAAACCGGUCUGGCUUCGGUCUGUAAAACCAGUUGUGAUGACUCUGGAUAAUCUGGGCUGAGCGCACGGUCUUUGCACCGGCGCCGCUUCUUUCAAGUGUCUGCCUUAUCAGCUGUCGAUUGUAGGUUAUGUGCCUACAAUGGCUAUAACGGGUAACGGGGAAUCAGGGUUCGAUUCCGGAGAGGGAGCCUGAGAAACGGCUACCACAUCCAAGGAAGGCAGCAGGCACGCAAAUUACCCACUCCCAGCUUGGGGAGGUAGUGACGAAAAAUAACGAUGCGAGACUCAUCCGAGGCCUCGCAAUCGGAAUGAGUACACUUUAAAUCCUUUAACGAUGAUCCAUUGGAGGGCAAGUCUGGUGCCAGCAGCCGCGGUAAUUCCAGCUCCAAUAGCGUAUAUUAAAGUUGUUGCGGUUAAAAAGCUCGUAGUUGGAUUUCAUGAUUGGACUGAAGGUUCGCCGUGAGGUGUAUAAAACCUAUCAGAUUCCGAAAACCGCUAUCACAACAACUUUGUGUACGCCCAAACUAGAUUACACGGGGUGUUCUUAAUUGAGUGCCCCGCGUGACUGGUAUGUUUACUUUGAAAAAAUUAGAGUGCUUAACGCAGGCCAACUGAAUGGCCUGAAUGUCUAUGCAUGGAAUAAUAUAAAAGGACCUCGGUUCUAUUUUAUCCGGGCUUUUUGUGGAACCCGAGGUAAUGAUUAAUGGAGAUCCAUGGGGGCAUUGGUACUGAGACGAUAGAGGUGAAAUUCUUGGAUCGUUACAAGACUAACAACUGCGAAAGCAUUGUCAAGUUUGUUUCAAUCAAAACGAANNNNNNNNNNNNNNNNNNNNNNNNCGGGGGAAGUAUGGUUGCAAAGCUGAAACUUAAAGGAAUUGACGGAAGGGCACCACCAGGAGUGGAGCCUGCGGCUUAAUUUGACUCAACACGGGAAACCUCACCAGGCCCAGACACUGGAAGGAUUGACAGAUUGAGAGCUCUUUCUCGAUUCAGCGGGUGGUGGUGCAUGGCCGUUCUUAGUUGGUGGAGUGAUUUGUCUGGUUAAUUCCGAUAACGAACGAGACUCUGGCCUAUUAACUAGUCGACGGAUUUCCAUACAUUGGUGUCCAGUUCGCAACUUCUUCUUAGAGGGAUAAGCGGUAUGUCCUAGCCGCAUGAGAUUGAGCAAUAACAGGUCUGUGAUGCCCUUAGAUGUUCUGGGCCGCACGCACGCUACACUGAAGGGAUCAGAGUGUUUUCCCCCUCCGAGAGGACAGGGUAACCAAAUGAACCCCCUUCGUGAUAGGGAUUGGGGCUUGCAAUUGUUUCCCAUGAACGAGGAAUUCCCAGUAAGCGCAAGUUAUCACUUUGCGUUGAUUACUUCCCUGCCCUUUGUACACCACCGCCCGACGCUAUUAACGAUUGAAUGAUUUAUUGAGGCCUUUGAACUGUCGCUCUUGAAUUUCUAUUUUUAUGACUUUUAAAAAUUAUAUGAAACGAGGUUGCUAAAACAGAGGGAAAGAUGUCCAAACUUGAUCCUCUAAAAGGAAUAACAGUCUAAACCAGACUUUC